CCUCUCAUAGAUGGCAUCGCCGGAAGGCUUAAAGGAUGGAAAGGCAAACUGAUGGCCAAACCUGGAAGGCUCACUCUAAUAAAUUAUGUGCUUACGUCCAUGGCUACCUAUUUCUUAACCAGUUUUGCAGUUGACAAAUGUACAAUAAAGAAAAUGGAAAAGAUUCAGCGAAACUUCCUUUGGAAUGGUGACGAGGAGUGCAACGGGGCUAAGUGUCUGGUCAACUGGAAGAGGGCCUGCUCCCCAGAGGAUCUUGGUGGCCUUGGAAUCAAAGACAUUGCUUGCUUCAGUAGGCAUUGCGACUGCGUUGGGCUUCGCUAG
rnacentral:rRNA from 1 species